GACGAACGCUGGCGGCGUGCUUAACACAUGCAAGUCGAACGGAAAGGCCCUGCUUUUGUGGGGUGCUCGAGUGGCGAACGGGUGAGUAACACGUGAGUAACCUGCCCUUGACUUUGGGAUAACUUCAGGAAACUGGGGCUAAUACCGGAUAGGAGCUCCUGCUGCAUGGUGGGGGUUGGAAAGUUUCGGCGGUUGGGGAUGGACUCGCGGCUUAUCAGCUUGUUGGUGGGGUAGUGGCUUACCAAGGCUUUGACGGGUAGCCGGCCUGAGCGGGUGACCGGCCACAUUGGGACUGAGCUACGGCCCAGACUCCUACGGGAGGCAGCAGUGGGGAAGAUUACACAGUGGGCGGAAGCCUGAUGCAGCAACGCCGCGUGCGGGAUGACGGCCUUCGGGUUGUAAACCGCUUUCGCCUGUGACGAAGCGUGAGUGACGGUAAUGGGUAAAGAAGCACCGGCUAACUACGUG
rnacentral:rRNA from 1 species